UGUUGAGCUUGACUCUAGUC
rnacentral:ncRNA from 2 species